rnacentral:rRNA from 1 species
UAACGCGGAGAACCUUACCAGCCCUUGACAUGUCUAUGACCGGUACCAGAGAUGGAACCUUCCCUUCGGGGCAUAGAGCACAGGUGCUGCAUGGCUGUCGUCAGCUCGUGUCGUGAGAUGUUGGGUUAAGUCCCGCAACGAGCGCAACCCCCGUCCUUAGUUGCUACCAUUUAGUUGAGCACUCUAAGGAGACUGCCGGUGAUAAGCCGCGAGGAAGGUGGGGAUGACGUCAAGUCCUCAUGGCCCUUACGGGCUGGGCUACACACGUGCUACAAUGGCGGUGACAAUGGGAUGCAAAGGGGCGACCCCUCGCAAAUCUCUAAAAAGCCGUCUCAGUUCGGAUUGGGCUCUGCAAGCUCGAGUCCCAUGAAGUUGGAAUUCGUCUAGUAAUUCGUGGAUCAGCA